rnacentral:misc_RNA from 1 species
UGCACAAUGCUCUGGCCACUU